GAUGAACGCUGGCGGCGUGCCUAAUACAUGCAAGUCGAGCGAACGGACGAGAAGCUUGCUUCUCUGAUGUUAGCGGCGGACGGGUGAGUAACACGUGGAUAACCUACCUAUAAGACUGGGAUAACUUCGGGAAACCGGAGCUAAUACCGGAUGAUAUUUUGAACCGCAUGGUUCAAAAGUGAAAGACGGUCUUGCUGUCACUUAUAGAUGGAUCCGCGCUGCAUUAGCUAGUUGGUAAGGUAACGGCUUACCAAGGCAACGAUGCAUAGCCGACCUGAGAGGGUGAUCGGCCACACUGGAACCGAGACGCGGUCCAGACUCCUACGGGAGGCAGCAGUAGGGAAUCUUCCGCAAUGGGCGAAAGCCUGACGGAGCAACGCCGCGUGAGUGAUGAAGGUCUUCGGAUCGUAAAACUCUGUUAUUAGGGAAGAACAUAUGUGUAAGUAACUGUGCACAUCUUGACGGUACCUAAUCAGAAAGCCACGGCUAACUACGUG
rnacentral:rRNA from 1 species